AGUGAACGCUGGCGGUAGGCCUAACACAUGCAAGUCGAACGGCAGCACAGUAAGAGCUUGCUCUUACGGGUGGCGAGUGGCGGACGGGUGAGGAAUACAUCGGAAUCUACUUUUUCGUGGGGGAUAACGUAGGGAAACUUACGCUAAUACCGCAUACGACCUACGGGUGAAAGCAGGGGAUCUUCGGACCUUGCGCGAUUGAAUGAGCCGAUGUCGGAUUAGCUAGUUGGCGGGGUAAAGGCCCACCACGGCGACGAUCCGUAGCUGGUCUGAGAGGAUGAUCAGCCACACUGGAACUGAGACACGGCCCAGACUCCUACGGGAGGCAGCAGUGGGGAAUAUUGGACAAUGGGCGCAAGCCUGAUCCAGCCAUACCGCGUGGGUGAAGAAGGCCUUCGGGUUGUAAAGCCCUUUUGUUGGGAAAGAAAAGCAGCAGGUUAAUACCCCGCUGUUCUGACGGUACCCAAAGAAUAAGCACCGGCUAACUUCGUG
rnacentral:rRNA from 1 species